AUUCAACAGCAUAAACCGCCAAGAUGAAAUUUGAACUGCUAUUACUACUUGGAAUUUUGUGUUCUUCCAUGCUUGGUCGAAAUAUCGCGAAUGUGUGCUGUGUAAGAAAACCUUGGUGCUGCUUGCCAGGCAGUGAAUGCAAUGCUGAUUCUGACUGCGAU